CGCCUCCGCCCGCCCGCUCGCCCGAGCUUCAGUUCCCGGCGAGGGACGACCCUCCCGUUUCUGGCGAUCAGUACGGUCUCUGUUUCCUAGGCUGGAAAAUGAGCCUGUGCCUCCAUUUCCAGUGCUUGCGCCCGAAGGUGAGGGCAGCACGGGGGUCGCCGAGGACGGCUUUUCUUUUUCCUGCUCUUUGUUGCGGUCCAGGAUUUUCUCUUCCGGGUCACAUCUAAAGCACAGUGCUCUGCUUCCUAAACCGUCUUUCCAGCCAAGUGCUUUGCUUCUGCAGCUACCGAUUAAUCCAGAUGUCCAGUCCUGCUCGCUCCACUCCUGACACACAUACUUACCGUUGUGUGACAAUUGCCAGCAGUGUUCAGUGCAGUCACAGGCUGUACAGGCUUGCAGCCGGGGGGCAGAAGGCGACGCUGCACAGCCUGGGGUGUAGG